rnacentral:tmRNA from 1 species
GGGGACGCCAGGAUUCGACGUAUGGUCGAUCCAUCGUCUGCGCAGGUCGGGGAUGUCCGCGCCCCCGUUAUCAAUCACGGACAGCGAAUAACUGCAAACAUCUUCGCAAAGGUGCGCAACGCGUUCCGCGUUCCGGCACCAGCCUACGCCAUCGCCUAAGCGCGACGGCCCGUCCAACACGCGAGGCUCCAUAGCGUGCUACGGACGUCAUCAUGGAGUGACAUCGUAGACUCCCCUCCAUCUACGGUGGCCGUUUGCGGAGGGACAACGACGCGCGUCUUUUUGUCAGCUCUUGAGCGCGCGCCGCACUAAAGCUGACUAUAUCUGUACACGCUUCGAUGGUUCUCAUAUCGGACGUGGGUUCAAUUCCCACCGUCUCCACCA